AAUGAAGUGCCUGAUUAAAGGGCUAUCUUGAUAGGGUAGAUAAAGUAAGUGUAUUACCUUCAUUA
rnacentral:tRNA from 1 species